rnacentral:rRNA from 1 species
GACGAACGCUGGCGGCGUGCUUAACACAUGCAAGUCGAACGGAAAGGCCCUGCUUUUGUGGGGUGCUCGAGUGGCGAACGGGUGAGUAACACGUGAGUAACCUGCCCUUGACUUUGGGAUAACUUCAGGAAACUGGGGCUAAUACCGGAUAGGAGCUCCUGCUGCAUGGUGGGGGUUGGAAAGUUUCGGCGGUUGGGGUUGGACUCGCGGCUUAUGAGCUUGUUGGUGGGGUAGUGGCUUACCAAGGCUUGGACGGGUAGCCGGCCUGAGAGGGUGACCGGCCCCAUAGGGACAGGGGUGCGACCAGGAGUGCAUCGGGAGGAAGGGGUGGAGAAUAUAGCAAGAAGGGCGGAGGCCUGGUGCAGCGACGCCGGGUGGGGAAUGGCGGCCUUCGGGUAGUAAACCGCUUUCGCCUAUGACGGAGCGUGAGUAACGGUAAUGGGUAAAGAGGCACGGGCAAACUACGU